AACGGUUGCUUCCAUUGGAAAGCCUGGCUUUAGGGAGAGGUUAUGGACGUUACGUGCGGUUCACACUGACGGUAUUAUAACAACUUUAUGCGGAUGCUAGCGAAGUUUGAUAUUCUAAGAACUUCGCUUAGGUUCUGCAACAAUGAGUUCUUCUUGCGUUCACCAUCUGCGUGGUAAUGUGACCAGAUAGCCUCUGCCGCUUUCUCCUUUGCCAGUUUCCAUGAAAUCUUACGGAUUAUCUCUCACUACUGCUGCCCUAGGUAAUGAGGAAAAGAAAAUGGCGGCGGAAAAGGCUAGAGGCGAGGGCGAAGAGGGGUCCUUCAGUCUCACAGUCGAAGAGAAGAAGGCGCUUUGUGGAUUAGAUAGCAGCUUCUUCGGGUUCUUGACCCGAUGCAAAGAUGGCGCCAAGAUGAAGACGCUGUUGAACAAGGCAAUUCACUUCUAUGAGUCUUUAAUAGUAAAAGCUGAAGGAAAAGUGGAAUCAGAUUUCUUUUGUCAAUUAGGUCACUUCAAUCUCUUACUGGAAGAUUAUUCAAAAGCAUUGUCAUCUUACCAGAGAUACUACAGUUUACAGACUGACUACUGGAAGGCAUUCCAGAACCACUUUUGGUGGUGGAAAAUUACCAGGGAAGUUUGGAAAUUAUUGCUGAGGAAGUUCAGGAAUGCUGCCUUUUUAUAUGGUCUUGGUUUGGUCUAUUUCUACUACAAUGCAUUUCAGUGGGCAAUUAGAGCUUUUCAGGAAGUCCUUUAUGUUGACCCUAAUUUUUGCAGAGCCAAAGAAAUCCAUUUACGACUUGGUUUUAUGUUCAAAAUGAAUACAGAUUAUGAAUCUAGUUUAAAGCAUUUUCAGCUGGCCCUGAUCGACUGUAAUGUCUGUACUUUGUCCAGUGUCGAAAUUCAGUUUCAUAUUGCUCACUUAUAUGAAACCCAGAGGAAAUACCAUUCUGCAAAGGCAGCCUAUGAACAACUUUUACAGAUUGAAAGCUUGCCAUCACAAGUCAAAGCAACUGUAUUGCAACAGUUAGGUUGGAUGCACCAUAAUAUGGAUCUAAUUGGAGACAAUACCACCAAAGAGAGAUAUGCUAUUCAGUAUCUCCAAAAGUCAUUGGAGGAAGAUCCUAAUUCUGGUCAAUCUUGGUAUUUCCUUGGAAGGUGUUACUCAUGUAUUGGGAAGGUUCAGGAUGCCUUUGUAUCUUACAGGCAAUCCAUUGAUAAAUCAGAAGCAAGUGCAGACACAUGGUGUUCAAUAGGUGUGCUGUAUCAACAGCAAAAUCAACCUAUGGAUGCCUUGCAAGCCUAUAUAUGUGCUGUACAGUUGGAUCAUGGACAUGCAGCAGCCUGGAUGGACUUAGGUAUUCUUUAUGAAUCUUGCAACCAACCCCAGGAUGCCAUUAAAUGCUACUUAAAUGCAGCUCGGAGCAAAUCUUGUAAUAACACCUCUGCACUUACAUCAAGAAUUAAGUUUUUACAGGCUCAGUUGUGUAACCUUCCACAAAGUAGUCUACAGAAUAAAACUAAAUUACUUCCUAGUAUUGAGGAGGCAUGGAGCCUACCAAUACCCGCAGAGCUUACCUCCAGGCAGGGUGCCAUGAACACAGCACAGCAGAGUGUUUCUGAUACCUGGAAUAGUGUCCAGACAGCUUCACAUCAUUCAGUACAGCAGAAAGUUUAUACACAGUGCUUCACAGCACAGAAAUUACAGAGUUUUGGUAAAGAUCAACAACCUCCAUUUCAAACUGGGUCCACACGAUAUCUCCAAGCAGCUAGCACUAAUGAUCAGAAUCAGAAUGGAAAUCAUACUCUGCCUCAGAAUUCAAAAGGGGAUGCUCAAAAUCACUUCUUACGUAUUCCUACCUCAGAAGAACAAAAGAUCAUUAACUUUACCAAAGAGAGCAAGGAUUCAAGAAGUAAAUCCUUGACUUCUAAAACAAGUAGGAAAGAUAGAGACACAUCUAAUAUCUGUGUUAAUGCAAAGAAGCAUUCUAAUCAUAUUUAUCAGAUCUCAUCAGUUCCGAUUUCCAGCCUUAAUAAUAAAGAAUCUGUGUCACCAGAUUUAAUAAUUGUAGACAAUCCUCAGCUUUCUGUCUUAGUUGGAGAAACUAUCGACAAUGUGGACCAUGACAUUGGAACUUGUGACAAAGUCAAUAAUGUUCAUCUAGCCAUUCACAAAAAGCCUGAUAAUCUUUCUGCUUCUUCACCCUCUUCAGCCAUUUCCACAGAAACACUUUCUCUAAAGCUCACUGAACAGACACACAUUGUUACCAGCUUUAUCAGUCCUCACAGUGGAUUACACACAAUUAAUGGAGAAGGGCAUGAGAACUUAGAGAGUUCUGCCAGUGUUAAUGUUGGCCUCAGACCUAGAUCUCAAAUCAUACCAUCAAUGUCUGUGUCCAUAUACUCCAGUUCAACAGAAGUUCUGAAAGCGUGCAGGAGUCUAGGUAAAAAUGGUUUGUCUAAUGGUCAUAUUCUCUUGGAUAUAUGCCCACCUCCAAGACCACCAACUUCGCCAUAUCCUCCUUUACCAAAGGAGAAGUUGAAUCCACCCACUCCUAGUAUUUAUUUGGAAAAUAAGCGAGAUGCCUUUUUUCCUCCAUUACAUCAAUUUUGCAUCAAUCCAAAAAACCCUGUUACAGUAAUUCGCGGUCUUGCUGGAGCUCUUAAGUUAGAUCUUGGACUUUUCUCUACCAAAACUUUGGUAGAGGCUAACAAUGAACAUAUCGUAGAAGUGAGGACCCAAUUGUUACAGCCAGCAGAUGAAAACUGGGAUCCCUCUGGAACAAAGAAAAUCUGGCGAUAUGAAAAUAAAAGUUCUCAUACUACAAUUGCUAAAUAUGCACAGUACCAGGCCUGCUCCUUCCAGGAAUCAUUGAGAGAAGAAAAUGAAAGAAGAACACAAGUUAAAGACUAUUCAGAUAAUGAAUCAACAUGUUCAGAUAAUUCUGGAAGGAGACAGAAAGCACCCUUUAAAACCAUAAAAUGUGGGAUUAACAUUGAUCUGUCUGAUAACAAAAAGUGGAAGUUGCAGUUACAUGAGCUGACAAAGCUUCCUGCUUUUGUACGUGUUGUAUCAGCAGGGAAUCUUCUCAGUCAUGUUGGCUAUACUAUAUUGGGGAUGAAUUCAGUUCAACUAUGUAUGAAAGUUCCAGGGAGUAGAAUACCAGGUCACCAAGAAAAUAACAAUUUCUGUUCUGUUAACAUAAAUAUUGGUCCAGGUGAUUGUGAAUGGUUUGUUGUACCUGAAGAUUAUUGGGGUGUUCUGAAUGACUUCUGUGAAAAAAAUAAUUUGAAUUUCCUGAUGAGUUCUUGGUGGCCGAACCUUGAAGAUCUUUAUGAAGCAAAUGUUCCUGUUUAUAGGUUUAUUCAACGACCUGGUGAUUUGGUUUGGAUAAAUGCAGGCACUGUUCACUGGGUUCAGGCUAUUGGGUGGUGUAACAACAUCACCUGGAAUGUUGGUCCACUCACAGCCUUCCAAUAUAAAUUGGCAGUUGAACGAUAUGAAUGGAAUAAAUUGCAAAGUGUCAAGUCAGUAGUACCCAUGGUUCAUCUUUCAUGGAAUAUGGCACGAAAUAUCAAAGUCUCAGAUCCAAAGCUUUUUGAAAUGAUUAACAGGCGUGGGAGACAAGCUCUCUCCUCUGAGUUUCAGUGGUCAGAGCAGUCUCUGCAGGCAAGAUCUCCUCUUUCGGGGAAGGUGUACAGUUAUCUGGUGUUUGGACCUCCUCCUGGCUGAAGAUGAAGGCCCAAAACAGGAUCUUUCCCAGAAGCUGUGUUGCUUUGGCCAGGAAGGUGGCCGGUUGUCUGGAGUCGAAGAUGUCGCCACCUCAGAAGCUCUGUGGCUCUCGCCAGGAAGGUGGCCGGUUGUCUGGAGACGAAGAUGGCGCCACCCCAGAAGCUCUGAGACUCUCGCCCGUACCAGAAACGGCUGGCCUCUGUAUUCCACACGGUCACCCGUGCAGCCUGCCCUCCGCAGAGUCCCGGAGCCAAGAAGGCUCCCGCCGGCGCCUGUGACACAAACCUCUCAGGCCGGGCAGACCCCCGUGCUCUCACCAGGAAGGUGGCCGGCUGUCUGGAGCUGAAAAUGGUGCCGCCUCAGAAGCUCUGUGGCUCUCGCCAGGAACGUGGCUGGUUGUCCGGAGAUGUCGCCGCCUCAGAAGCUCUGUGGCUCUCGCCAGGAAGGUGGCUGGUUGUCUGGAGAUGUCGCUGCCUCCGAAGCUCUGUGGCUCUCGCCAGGAAGGUGGCUGGUUGUCUGAAGAUGUCGCCGCCCCAGAAGCUCUGCGACUCUGGCCCGUACCAGAAACGGCUGGCCUCUGUAUUCCACACGGUCUCCCGUGCAGCCUGCCCUCCGCAGAGUCCCGGAGCCAAGAAGGCUCCUGCCGGCGCCUGUGACACAAACCUCUCAGGCCGGGCAGACCCCAGUGCUCUGACCAGGAAGGUGGCCGGCUGUCUGGAGCUGAAGAUCUUAACUACAGAUUUUUAAAAAUUUAUUCUUUGACAGAUUUAUCAUUAAUAUUAAAUGGUUGAAACCCCAUAAAUUUUUAUGCUUACUAGACAUUUGUUUGCUGUUGAUUUUAAGUUUUUAAUGCAUAAUGUUUAGGUCUGGUAGGUUAUACAGAGCCAUUUCGGUCCUUCUGAAUUUGGUCAGGUUUGUUUUGUGUCUCAGGAUAUGUUUUAUUUUAGAGAAACUUCAGUGGUCUAUUGAGUAGAAUGUUCUUUCUUUGGUGUUUGGGUAGAAUAUGCUUAUGUGUUGAUAUGGUGUAUAAUAUUUUUAAAUUCUACUGUUUCUCUGCUUAAUUUUUGUUCUGACUUCCAUUUGGUUUGAGAAAGUAAUGUAUUGAAGUUUCCCAUUGUUAAAUGGUUGAUGUUAAUCUGUAACUUUAUUCUCAGUAAUUGCUAAGCUUUUUAUGAAAUUGGUUCAUGUAUAUUUAAGAUAAUAAUGUCUUCUGAUUAACUAUUUUUCUUCUUAGAAUGUAAUCUCUUUUUAUCUUUUCUGAUUAGUUUUAGAAUAAAAUCUAUUUGGUCAAUUAAUGGCUUACAGAUACAUGGUAACUUCCAAAUCCUAUAUGAUUGGAGUUCUGUUAUACAUCUUUUCACUCUGUGUGCUUUGUACAUAGUACAUGACAUAGAUUUUGUUUUUUUAAAAGUGUUUGUCCUUUGAUUGAAGAAUUUAGGCCAUUGACUUUUUAAAUAUUAUUGAAAGAUGUUUUUCUCUUAUAGUCAUUGUUUUGAAUUUUUGUUGGGUUCUCAGAGGUACUUUGCAUUAGCAAUUAGAGAUUCAUUUGUUUUAUCUCUUGAAAUCUCUUCAGUGCCAAGUUCUGCUUCUGUUUUGUUUAGGCAUAUUCUGCUGAAUGUGCAUUCUUUUUGCUCAUCUGUUUUAUGGAACAUUUUUCUUUCACCUUCAAUUAUGGCAGAAAAUUUUACUAGGUUUGCAAUUGUGGUCUUUUAUGACUUGGAAUUUAUUGCUUUACAUUUCUAUUGAUGAGUAUUCUGGGGUUUUUUAAGGGACUUCCUUUAUAUAUGACUCGUGUUCUUAUCUUUCAGCUCUCAGUAACUUGUUUUUGUUCUGUAUAGUUUUUCAACUUAGAUAUCCUAUAGAGAUUUUCUUUUCCAGUCUCAUUUAUUUAGUAUUCUGUGUUUCUUGCAUCUCAAUGUGGCAUUUCAAGCUCACUAACACUUUCAGUGAUAUCCUCCCUUUUACAGGAAAAGAGUUGGAUCAAAACUGUCAAAGAAGGAGGAACAUGUCCCCAAAAGGCAUGUAGUUCAGAAGGAAGGCAGCAUAAAACUACCUGGUUCCCAGUAUAAAACGUAGAGUAGGUAGCAGCAAGACAAGGGGUUUGUGUUUCCUGAUAUUUGCAAUCUUAAGAACUGAAGUCCAGAAUCUUGCUUGAUACCUAAUUAUUCUGCACAUACGCAUGUGUGCAUGUGCAAAUAGCACACUUAGUUUCCUCAGAGUGAAAGUGACCUGUGAAAAUGAGAGAUGGUACUGUUGAGCAAAACUUUCACUGAAUAAAAGACAAAUAAGUGCUUAAAGAAGAAAAAGGUAAGAUUUUCCAGACACUUACUGUAUUUGAUGUUGAGUCAAAUUACCUGAAGAAGAUCAAAAACUUAAUAGGAAAGUUCUGCAUCUGAAAUGGAUGGCCUAUGUGUUGCCACAUCACUCUGAAUCAAAAGCAUCCUAAAACCCACAGAUUAAGUUGCAGCUUAUGUUAAUUACCUGAAAGUGCUCAUAAACUUAUAAGUAACUUCACACUCUUUCACUGUUAGCAGUCUGUCAUUCAUAACCAGCUCUGUGGAUGAACUUAUUGGUCUUCUACAACUCCAAACAAUUCAAUUUGAUCAGGUCUUGGACAGCAGAAAACAAUGAAGUAAAUACUUGAGACUUAGGGAGAAAAAACAUGUUAAUAGUUAAAAGGCUGGGGCUGUGUUACAUACAGGUCAUCUUGGAUUGUCAUCUCCCAAACCCUUGAUGUUCUCAUGCAGGAGCACAUAAUCUGUUAAUCUUCCCAAGGGAAGGGGCUCUUAAAUAACCUGAAAAGGCAUUAUUGCUGUGUGCUUGUGCACUUGAGAAUAGCUGCUGCUAUGGUGGUGGCUGCCACACUGUACAUAGCCUUAGGUCAGCAAAGCCUUUUAGUUCUCUUUCAGCUUGUUCUUCUUGCAACCUCUUUGAGCCCAGAAGACUUCAAGGAGGCAUACUGUUCGAUAGUAACUCAUUUGCUUAUCCUGUCUUUUAUCAUCUUCCUGGUUGCUGUGAGACACAAGUUUGGCCUUUGGAUGUCUUUUAUUGGUAGUUGCUGGGGAUGGAGCUGGAACAGGGGACAGGGCUGAGUCUAGUGUUCAGGCCAAGGAAGGAUCCAGGGGUGGUGUGUAUAGUCCUGAAUAAACUCUAUUCUAUACUAUACCAUUGUGUUGCUGGUCCCUCAGGGGGAAGGAAUGCCUCAGCAUGAGUCUGCAGAGGUACCCUCUUCCCCGUACCUGACUGACUGUGCAUCCACCAAAACAUAUUCCUCCUCUCUUUAUCUUUUUAUAAACACAACAUUUGGUGCCAAGACUUGGAUUUAGAAACUCCUAAGGUUUGCAUCCCCUGUUACCACUUGGAGAGCCAACACUCACUAGCCCAAACUUUGGAGAAAUGGUAAGCCCCCUCUACUCAUUGGUCAGAGUAAAUGUCCUGAUGGUCCCAGGAGAGAGUUCUUGAGCUUAGAGCUAUCCUUUUGCUGCCCUUGAGGAUGGAGACAUUCAGUCUUUUCACUGAUCCAUGUUCUAGAACAUUUUUCCCUUGGGUGAGAUCUUCCUCUCUUUUGAGACUGUUCCUUUCCCACUGCUGAGAAAUCUAAGGCCUGAGUGAACUCCUCUCUCAGGGCAUCAGCCCAGAGCUUAGCCCCCAGAUCACUACAUGAUGACCUGGUAGUCUGGUCUGGCUAGAAGUCUCUACAGUUAGUAAUACCUCAGUACUCUGGUAGGGGUAGUUAAUAACCCUAUUCUCAUCCAUGGGCUUGUCUACACCACCUUGUCCCUACCUACUGGGAUGUCCUGGUCUAAUGGUCUAAUUCAAACAAUAUCUAUAUGUGGCCGCUAAACUGACACUUUAAAACAACUCUCUUGCUAGCAAUCUGUAGUGAAGACUUUCCCUUCCGUCAUCCCUCAUUUGCUUGCUCCCUAGCAGCCCUCAUUCUCUCACCAUUUGCUCUGCUCCCGAUUCAGAGUGGGUCUGGCCCAUCCCUUGCAUCCUGCCAGAGAUUUUGCUGAGAUGUUGUUGAUUUCCCUCAUGUUCCUCAUCUGCACUGUCCCUGUUCUCUAUUUUGUCCUCUCUACCUGGAACUCAUGUAGUGAAAAUGAGUCCUGCCUCUGCCAGAGCUGCCACUUUUGCUGCUGCUGUACCACAUCUGAGACAUAGCAGGACUGCUGUGGGCAUACUUUCGCUCUGGUCUCUCACCUCAGCUCUCCGCUUAACCUCCACCAUCUGGCAGAGCUCUCUCCUACCCCUUCAGUGAAGAUGAAAUGCUACUUCAGGAACUUCCUCCGCCCAUCUCAGGCUCUGACAGAUGGGAUUGGGCAACACUGGGUUAGGGCUUCUGGCUGCUAGGACAAAGCUCCUCCCCACUUGUCGGAGUGCACUGCCACUUUCACCACCUUUGUCUCGAAAUAAAGCCAGCAAGAGCCAGUCCAUCUGAGUGCCAUCUAGCCUAUUGUGACAUCUCAAACCCUAUGCCCUUGAGGUAGGAGUGCACCUGGUGCCUUGACCACACAUAUACACUUGCCUGUCUUGUACCAGAGUCCAGCCCGUUCCCACAGUCUGCCCACCCACUCAGUUUAUGUCAUAGACCUGGACACACUUUACCUUCUGUCAGCACAGUCUCAAGCCACCACUGUCAGCAUUCUUAUUUCUUCCAUUCUGGUCCACACCAACUCUAAGCCAAGUGUUUCUCUACUAAUACAAAAUGUGUUUUUCUAUACCUGUCAAAGUCACUUAACAAUUAAGAUUUUCAUUCCUGUCCUGCCUUGAUAAUGGUUUUUGCUACAGAUAUGAUCAGUAGACAUAGCUCUCAAUCUUCUCAGAAGUCUGCUAAUUAUUAAUAUACUUAAGUUUAUGACAGACAGAAUCUCCCAAAGCCUAACAGCUAUCCCCAAGGUCACAGGAGAUAUAGACACAGCUACAAGAGACUGCCCCGAUUGUGGUAUGAUAACCACUAAGAAACACUGUGGUCAAGACUGGAAGCCCUAAGAGUCAAGUGACUCAUAUUGCCUAAGUCAAGGUGAGUCAUUUCUCAUUUCUCAAGUUAUUUAAUCCACAGGGAAAAAAGGGGCUCUUUUUAAAAGGCUCUUUGUUUUCUGGGUUUAAAAGCCAGACUGACUCUGCCCAAGUUGUUAUGGAGACCACAGGGACAGGGGCAGAUAGACACCCAUGGAAAAGCAAAGUCUUGGCAGACAGAGUCCCUGACAGGACUCCAGGAGUGGGACCAAACCCACUUUUCACAAAACAAAUUGGGAACAGAGCAAAUAGGUCUGCAGAAUGAGGUCUUCUCCUGGCUGGCAGGUCAGCAGUGAACUAUAGACGAACUCUGUCAUUUUUAAUUAAUACCUGAUUUAAUUUAUUCUCCAGAUUUCUGACUAUGUGGACAGCUAAGAUAACUGUAGCUUGACAGCUAGAAAACAGACCUAGCUCCUUACCCUAAGAUAUUGUCUCCUCAAGAUUCUAAAGCAUUGUCAGACUUUGAGAGAAGCUCUUGUUGCAGCAGGGAAAGAGGUUUUGUGGCAUGGGAGGAUAAAUGAUGAACCAGCUCCUUACUGUAGCAUCUGUGAGGUGGAAGUUUUUAAUUUACUUUUUGUCACUAAUGAAAGCAAUUCUCAAAAGACAUAUAUAGUACAUUGUCAGAACUGUGCACGAAAAACAAGUGGAAAUUUGGAAAAUUUUGUAGUGCUAGAACAAUACAAAAUGGAGGACCUGAUUCAAGUCUAUGACCAAUUUACAUUAGCUCCUUCGUUAUCUUCUGCAUCUUAAUAUUGUUCCAGAAAUACUGAGGCGUUUGUUCUUCUUGAAAUAUACUACUUAUUUUCUUGUUAUUCUCAUAAGACUGCUAUCUCAAAGCUAAAUUUAUGCAACCUUUCAAGAGUAGAGAAUCAGGAGACUAAACAGAGCAUUACUUCUAUUCCAAGAUUUACAAAGUUGACCCAAAUGUAUUUCAUAAUUAAAAGUUAAUAGUAAUAGUCACAUGAUUUGUAUAUAUCUGCCAGAAAUAACAUUUUGACACAAACAAAUACCUGGAAAACAACUUUUUAUAUCUCCAUUUCCUGGAUGACAGAUUUCUUUAUGCUUGUAAGUUACCCCAAAUUUUUUGUUUAGAAUCAAAUAGUAUCUUAUUUGGCUACUUCUUUUUAAGAUAACUAACAAAUUGAAAAAAAAUUUUUUCUUUUACCAAUUUUUUGCUAAAGUCAAAAUAAUAUGAAAAAGGUUUAUAUUGCUCUGUCACUAUUGUUUUGAAGUCUUGAUUUCAUGUGAUUACAAAAUAAAAAUAUUAACAGACUGGUAAAAAGAUUAUAGGUUGCAUAUAAAUAAUUUCAAAGUGAUGGUUUUUUGUUUUGUUUUGAAUCUUGACACAAACUCAAACUAUUCAUAAAUACAUAUAUAUAUGUGUAUAUAUGUAUGUAUACAUAUAUGUACAUAUAUAUAUAUAUACACAUACAUACAUAUAUACAUAUAUAUGUAUAUUGCUGGAAAAUCCUUGUGAAUUGAAUGUUAUUUUUUUCUAGAUUUACUUGCCAUUAAAUACUAAGGAGUUGUAUAAUUUUAAAUGCCACAAUUAAUUUUUAUAUGUGUAAAUAAAGCUACUUAGUAUUGUACAUAAACUCUUAUUAAAAUUAUUUAGUGUAUAAAGAAUUUUUCAAUGUUUGAGUUUUGAAGAUUAUAUAGUUCCAAUCUUUGUUCCUUUUCAAAGUUAAUGAAUAUAUGUAUUUAAGUCUGCCAACACAUGUAUGUAUGUAGAGAUCUCAGUAUUUCACUCAACAAGAAAAUCACAAUUUUUCAAUUUUUUAUGGCUGAAAGUUUUUGAAGGUAUUUGCUUACAAAAUAGGUAUGCUUAUUUUUAAAGACCAUCAGUGUCUUUUAGUCUGAUUAGGUUACACCUUAUGAAAUGACAAGUAGUUGCUGUCAGAAAUAUUUUUUAAGGGUAGAAAAUAAAGGUAAAUUAAGAUUUUUUUAUAAGAAACAUAGAUUUGACAAGUGCUUAUCAUUUAGAGUUUUGCUUUAAUGGAAAAGUUCAUUGCAAUGAUGAUCUCUAUUUUAGAGUUUAAUAUUCCUAGGAACUUUUAAAACAGAUAAUUUUGAAAUUCCAUGUAUUCCUGCUUGUUCAAUCUGGUGUGUGUUGGGAGACUUACGCAUUAAAAUUUAUUAUUAGUAAAUCUUAA